AAAAAUUAAAACUAUUGUUGUAUACAUGUACAUAUGGUAAUCACGUAUUCUUUACGCAUAAUGAAAGAAUGCACGACAUUGAUUGUCGAACGGCGUUCUGCGUUUUUUACGUGUGUAUGUUCAUGUUUCGACUAUUUGUCAAACGGUAACGUCAAUUUGCUACACUGUUCCCGUUUUAGUGAAGAAUGAGAUAAUAGCUACAUGUAAUAAUUAUAUAUGAAUUAUUACAUAAAAUGUAAUACGUGAUCAUAAUGUGCUUGUAUGCUAGCGAUGUCAUUGCUACCGUCGUCGAUGCUGAUUUUCAAUGAGUGUCGUUGAGAAUCGUGAAAUCAAAGAAAUAAUCAUCGAACGAUGGAUGAAUGAAUGAAUGAAAUGUAUUUCAUAUUAUGGUAAUGACGAGAAAUGCUACACAUAUUGCGAAUCGCACAUAGUUUUAGCGUAUUGCAUUUAAUUCUCAACGAAUACAACCUGAACUCAGACGUGAUAACCCGCUGAACUUAAGCAUAUCAUUUAGCGGAGGAAAAGAAACUAACAAGGAUUCCCAAAGUAACGGCGAGUGAACUGGGAAAAGCCCAACGCUGAAUCUUUCGAUUUUAUAUCGUGAAGAAAUGUAGCGUAUAGGUAUGGUUGUCGGUUUGUUUAGCAUGUCCAAAGUUCCUUUGAUAGGGGCCAUAUUCCGGAGAGGGUGCGAGACCUGUGCGGACAGUUGAGCAUACCGUAUGAUUAUACCGUAGAGUCGGGUUGCUUGAAAGUGCAGCCUUAAGUGGGUGAUAAACUUCAUCUAAGGCUAAAUACGAACGCGAAUUCGAUAGCAAACAAGUACUGUGAAGGAAAGUUGCAAAGAACUUUGAAGAGAGAGUUCAAGAGAACGUGAAAUCGUUGAAGUGGAACCGGAGAGAAUUGACGUAGUCUGGUGGAUAAGUAUUGCAAGAAUCGCAUUCAUAUAUUUGAAUGUGAUCAAGUAAUAUGUAUACCAUUAAUGACUGUGCUGACAGUAUCGGUUACACGAUCUGAACCCGUGUUAACAUGUUGCCCAUUCUAUUCGAUAGAAUGGUGUCUUGUGUUAUGUGGUAAGGUUUGUCGUUAGCUGAUAUUGAUUAAUGAUAAUUAUUUUUAAAUAAUUGUUAUGUCAGCAUAGAAGUCGAUCACCUCUCCGACCCGUCUUGAAACACGGACCGAGGAGUGUAAUUUGUACGCAAGUGAAUAGGUGAAAAACCUUAACGCGAAAUGAAAGUGAAGGCACGGUUAACCGGCUAACAUGGGAAACGUCUGUAUACAAUAUAUAUUUAACGAGACGUCACACCAUGGCCCUGUCUUGUCUGCGUGCAGAUGGGCAGCGGUAGAGCGUACAGGUUGCGACCCGAAAGAUGGUGAACUAUGCCUGAGCAGGACGAAGUCAGAGGAAACUCUGAUGGAAGUCCGUAUCGGUUCUGACGUGCAAAUCGAUCGAUAGACUUAGGUAUAGGGGCGAAAGACUAAUCGAACCAUC
rnacentral:rRNA from 1 species